UACGUGGGGUGCAAGCGUUAUCCGGAAUUAUUGGGCGUAAAGAGAUGCGUAGGUGGUCGGUAAAGUUUUUGGUGAAAUCCCCGGGCUCAACCCGGGAACUGCCAAGAAUACUCAUCGACUUGGAGGGAAUCAGGGGGUACUGGAACUCGUGGUGUAGUAGUAAUAUGCGUUGACAUCGGAAGGAACGCCGGUGGCGAAAGCGACACACUGGAUCUCUUCUGACGCUGAGGCGCGAAAGCCAGGGGAGCAAACGGG
rnacentral:rRNA from 1 species